rnacentral:rRNA from 1 species
GACGAACGCUGGCGGCGUGCUUAACACAUGCAAGUCGAACGGAAAGGCGCUGCUUUUGUUGCGUUCACGUUUGGCGAACGGGUGAGUGUCACGUGUGUAACCUCCCCUUGUCUGUGUGAUAACUCCUCGAAACUGCGGCUCAAACACCAUAUGAGCUCCUGAUCCAUGUUGUGGGUUGGAGAAAUUCGGCGGUUGGGGAUGGUCUCGCGGCUUAUCCGCUUGUUUGUCGGGUAGUGGCUUUCCAAGGCUUUGACGGGUAGCCGGCCUGAGCGGGUGACCGGCGACAUUGGGACUGCGAGACGGCGCAGACUCCUACGGGAGGCAGCAGGGGGGAAUAUUGCACAAUGGGCGGAAGCCUGAUGCAGCAACGCCGCGUGCGGGAUGACGGCCUUCGGGUUGUGAACCGCUUUCGACGGUGACGAAGCGUGAGUGACGGUAAUGGGUAAGGAAGCACCGGCUAACUACGUG